UGCCCAGACUCCUACGGGAGGCAGCAGUGAGGAAUAUUGGUCAAUGGGCGCGAGCCUGAACCAGCCAAGUCGCGUGAGGGAUGACGGCCCUACGGGUUGUAAACCUCUUUUGUCGGGGAGCAAAUUCCGUUACGUGUAACGGAGUCGAGAGUACCCGAAGAAAAAGCAUCGGCUAACUCCGUGCCAGCAGCCGCGGUAAUACGGAGGAUGCGAGCGUUAUCCGGAUUUAUUGGGUUUAAAGGGUGCGUAGGCGGAACAUUAAGUCAGCGGUAAAAUCGAGGGGCUCAACCCCUUUAAGCCGUUGAAACUGGUGAUCUUGAGUGGGCGAGAAGUAUGCGGAAUGCGUGGUGUAGCGGUGAAAUGCAUAGAUAUCACGCAGAACUCCGAUUGCGAAGGCAGCAUACCGGCGCCCGACUGACGCUGAGGCACGAAAGCGUGGGGAUCGAACAGGAUUAGAUACCCUUGUAAC
rnacentral:rRNA from 1 species